rnacentral:rRNA from 1 species
GGUUGACCUCGGAAUCAGGUA